rnacentral:rRNA from 1 species
AGUGAACGCUGGCGGUAGGCCUAACACAUGCAAGUCGAACGGCAGCACAGUAAGAGCUUGCUCUUACGGGUGGCGAGUGGCGGACGGGUGAGGAAUACAUCGGAAUCUACUUUUUCGUGGGGGAUAACGUAGGGAAACUUACGCUAAUACCGCAUACGACCUACGGGUGAAAGCAGGGGAUCUUCGGACCUUGCGCGAUUGAAUGAGCCGCUGUCGGAUUAGCUAGUUGGCGGGGUAAAGGCCCACCAAGGCGACGAUCCGCAGCUGGUCUGAGAGGAUGAUCGGCGGCCCGGGAACUGAAACAGGGUCCAGGCGCCUGCGAGAGGCAGCAGUGGGGAAUAUGGGACAAUGGUCGCAAGCCUGAUCCAGCCAUAGCGCGUGGGUGAAGAAGGCCUUCGGAUUGUAAAGCCCGUUUGUGGGGAAAGAAACGCAGCAGGUUAAUACCCCGCUGUUCUGACGGUACCCAAAGAAUAAGCACCGGCUAACUUCGUG